AACGAACGCUGGAGGCAUGCCUUAUACAUGCAAGUCGAACGCGAAAGUACCUUCGGGUAUCAGUAGAGUGGCAAACGGGUGAGUAACGCGUGGGAAUAUACCUUAUAGUACGGAAUAGCCUCGGGAAACUGGGAUUAAUACCGUAUACGCCCUUAGGGGGAAAGAUUUAUCGCUAUAAGAUUAGCCCGCGUCAGAUUAGCUAGUUGGUGGGGUAACGGCCUACCAAGGCAACGAUCUGUAGCUGGUCUGAGAGGAUGACCAGCCACAUUGGGACUGAGAUACGGCCCAAACUCCUACGGGAGGCAGCAGUAGGGAAUAUUGGACAAUGGGGGAAACCCUGAUCCAGCAAUGCCUCGUGAGUGAUGAAGGCCUUAGGGUUGUAAAGCUCUUUAGUGGGGAAGAUAAUGACGGUACCCACAGAAAAAGCACCGGCUAACUCCGUGCCAGCAGCCGCGGUAA
rnacentral:rRNA from 1 species